AGCAGCCGCGGUAAUUCCAGCUCCAAUAGCGUAUAUUAAAGUUGUUGCAGUUAAAAAGCUCGUAGUUGAAUUUCGAGAUCAAUUUGUUGGUCGUGCCUCGGUACGUACUGGCAAUUUUGAUUUCUCCCUUCUGAAGAACCACGAUGUCAUUAAUUUGGUGUCAUGGGGAAUCAGGACCGUUACUUUGAAAAAAUUAGAGUGUUUAAAGCAGGCUCGCGCUUGAAUACAUUAGCAUGGAAUAAUGAAAUAGGACGUUUGAUUCUAUUUUGUUGGUUUCUAGGAUCGACGUAAUGAUUAAUAGGGAUAGUUGGGGGCAUUAGUAUUCAAUUGUCAGAGGUGAAAUUCUUGGAUUUAUUGAAGACUAACUACUGCGAAAGCAUUUGCCAAGGAUGUUUUCAUUAAUCAAGAACGAAAGUUAGGGGAUCGAAGACGAUCAGAUACCGUCGUAGUCUUAACCAUAAACUAUGCCGACUAGGGAUCGGAUGAUGUUAAUUUUUAAUGACUCAUUCGGCGCCUUAAC
rnacentral:rRNA from 1 species